CCAGAGGAGAAAGGGCCCCAGGCUCCAAGAGGCAGUACCAGGGUGGUCCAGGCGGAUGUCCGGAAGCGGGACCCUCUGCUGCAGCAGGGAACCCACGAAGAUCCACAGCUCUGGGGUUUCUGUUUCACCGGCGCCGGGACUUCAGCUCCACCGUGAAAACGACAAUGCGGAGAAGAGGGAUGUGGCCGCUAGAUGGCAGCAGAGGUCAAGUUACUGAACCACCCACCUGUAAGAUAUACGAAGACCGAGCAAGACCCCUUGUGUCCCAGGAAGAAUGUUGAGAGGAGACUUAAGACACCCACCUCACUCUAGGAAUCCGUCCUUCCCAAAAUACCUGCCUUUGACCACUGGAGGGCAGUGCUGGACCAGCCAAAUCUCUUCAGGGGCUCUGCUCCAUCGUUUUUCCCACCUUGCCCAGGCAGAGCAGGAGGCAGCCUCUGGGUGAAAGCCAAAACUGGGGACCACUGGAGCACCCUGCGAGCAGCAGCACAGCCAGCACUGUUACAAUGCUCCCCGCGCCUGGCGUCAUAGGAAUAAAAGGCAGUUCAUUGGAAAGAGGAUUUGGCUCCGUUGGUGACACUGUCCCCUGGGAAAGAGACUGAAAGGAAAACUUGCCUCAUCAUGUCAUUAACCAGGAACAAUCUGUGCCUCUGACCAGGGGUUGCAGACUCCUACCUUUUUCUACCCACUCAGAAGUGAGCUCCUGGCAGCACACACGGUGCUUGGCAAUAAAUGUCUGUUGAAUGAGUGAA